AGAGUUUGAUCAUGGCUCAGAUUGAACGCUGGCGGUAUGCUUAACACAUGCAAGUCGAACGGAAACGAUAAGAGCUUGCUCUUAGGCGUCGAGUGGCGGACGGGUGAGUAACGCGUAGGAAUCUGCCUAGUAGUGGGGGAUAGCCCAGAGAAAUCUGGAUUAAUACCGCAUAAUAUCUAUGGAUUAAAGUGGAGGAUCUUCGGACUUCACGCUACUAGAUGAGCCUGCGUAAGAUUAGCUUGUUGGUGAGGUAAAAGCUCACCAAGGCGACGAUCUUUAGCUGGUCUGAGAGGAUGAUCAGCCACACUGGAACUGAGACACGGUCCAGACUCCUACGGGAGGCAGCAGUGGGGAAUAUUGGACAAUGGGGGCAACCCUGAUCCAGCAAUACCGCGUGUGUGAAGAAGGCCUGAGGGUUGUAAAGCACUUUCAAUUGUGAAGAAAAGCUAAUGAUUAAUACCCAUUAGCCUUGACGUUAACUUUAGAAGAAGCACCGGCUAACUCCGUGCCAGCAGCCGCGGUAAUACGGAGGGUGCAAGCGUUAAUCGGAAUUACUGGGCGUAAAGCGUGCGUAGGUGGUUUUUUAAGUCAGAUGUGAAAGCCCUGGGCUCAACCUAGGAACUGCAUUUGAAACUGGAAAACUAGAGUAUAGGAGAGGAAAGUGGAAUUUCAGGUGUAGCGGUGAAAUGCGUAGAUAUCUGAAGGAACAUCAAUGGCGAAGGCAGCUUUCUGGACUAAUACUGACACUGAGGUACGAAAGCGUGGGUAGCAAACAGGAUUAGAUACCCUGGUAGUCCACGCCGUAAACGAUGAUAACUAGCCGUUGGGAGGAUUUACCUCUUAGUGGCGAAGCUAACGCGUUAAGUUAUCCGCCUGGGGAGUACGGGCCGCAAGGUUAAAACUCAAAGGAAUUGACGGGGACCCGCCCCAGCGGUGGAGCAUGGUGGUUGAAUUCGAUG
rnacentral:rRNA from 1 species